GAGGAGAUGUGAAAAUGGCUGAAGGUUAAACGUGGCACAAGAGGAGAUGCUGCUGGAGAUCCUGGUUGGGAACACCUCGGAAGGCAGUUUCUAUAGCGAUGGACAAACACAUGCAGCACGCACGCCUGGGUGGUGUUUGCCUGCACUGCCUGAAAACACCACCAAAUUUUUGAGAAAUCCAUUGAAAAAUCUUUGCUAAAGCCCUCCAGAUCUUAAAUAAUC